rnacentral:misc_RNA from 1 species
UCGCAGCCCGACUUGAACGGAAAUCCUUUUUGUGGAACGCAGUGUAACAAAAAGAUUGGGAGUGGAAGGCGGAUUAAGC